rnacentral:rRNA from 1 species
AGAGUUCGAUUAUGGCUCAGGAUAAACGCUAGCGGCAGGCCUAACACAUGCAAGUCGAGGGGCAGCGGAAGAGGUAGCUUGCUACUUCUGCCGGCGACCGGCGCACGGGUGCGUAACGCGUAUGCAACCUACCUUUAACAGGGGGAUAAUCUGAAGAAAUUUGGUCUAAUACCCCAUAAUAUUUCAUAAGGCAUCUUAUGGAGUUGAAAGCUCCGGCGGUUAAAGAUGGGCAUGCGUUGUAUUAGCCAGAUGGUGAGGUAACGGCUCACCAUAGCAAUGAUACAUAGGGGGACUGAGAGGUUUUCCCCCCACACUGGUACUGAGACACGGACCAG